UGGGCUUGACAUCCCUCUGACGACUCUUAGAGAUAGGAGUCUCUCUUCGGAGCAGGGGUGACAGGUGCUGCAUGGUUGUCGUCAGCUCGUGCCGUGAGGUGUUGGGUUAAGUCCCGCAACGAGCGCAACCCUUGUCUACAUUUGCCAUCAUUAAGUUGGGGACUAUGUAGAGACUGCCGGUGUUAAACCGGAGGAAGGUGGGGACGACGUCAAAUCAUCACGGCCCUUAUGCCCAGGGCUACACACGUGCUACAAUGGUAGGGACAAAGAGCAGCGAGACAGUGAUGUUCAGCCAAUCUCAAAAACCCUAUCUCAGUUCGGAUUGAAGUCUGCAACUCGACUUCAUGAAGUUGGAAUCGCUAGUAAUCGUAGAUCAGCAUGCUACGGUGAAUACGUUCCCGGGCCU
rnacentral:rRNA from 1 species